UAUUUUGUCCUAUAUGCGCAUGAAACUAAUACCCUUUUACUGUUUCACAGCUUCCCUUUAGAAACUCAAAUGAGCAACGUAUUGCGAAAUUAAGACAUCUGAGGUAUUUUAUCUGCUCUCCUGCUACGUGGAUCUGCACAAAGGGCCUCCGUCUAGGAACUCACAAGAGCGUAUGAAAUUAAAACGUCUGCUUCCCUGCUGCACAAAGGAACCUUCGGCACCGCAGUCGAGCUUCCACACCAAUGCGUCACACGGGCCGGCAAAGUUGGGACUUUGAAAGCCAACACGAAUUUGGAGCCCUAGGCCAUCGAUUGAUCGCAAUGCUGUUUGAUAUCUACCACAUUCCCGUUGAAAAGGGAUACCACUCCUUCGAUACGAUCUCUAAAUCAAAAUAGAAUGGGCCAACAGCACUUUGGAAAGGAAUACACAGGUGCGUCAAGUACUUCCAUCACAUCUUAUGGAUAUUUUAUGCCAAGAUUUGCUUGAGAUGGGGAGGUAGGCCAUCGAAUCGAUCCCGGUGCCACUUUCCAGUCGUUAGAAAAGGUUGUCAUGUGGAAGUUUCUAAUUCAAAAUGAAGUUGCUCAAAUA